CAAUCUGCCAAACCUUGCGGAGCAAGACGGCCCAGUGCAACAAGAGGAGCCAAGAGACCAGCAGCAACUGAUCAACAAAGCAAGGCCACAUUCAAGCGGAUCCAACAUGCAGGACCCUGUUGGCACCUGCGUAAAUCUUUUGGAGGAGAUACGGGAGAGGCGUGCGAGGAAGGCAGGUGGCCCCGAAGGUCCAGUUCAUCACUUCUGU